CAUGGGUCGGGCAUAACCCGGGAACUGGGUAUAAUUCCCGAUAGAUCUGAGAGGCUGGAAUGCACUCUGAUCGAAAGCUCCGGCACCCAAGGAUGGGUCUGCGGCCUAUCAGGUUGUAGUGGGUGUAAUGUACCUACUAGCCUACUACGGGUACGGGUUGUGAGAGCAAGAGCCCGGAGAUGGAUUCUGAGACACGAAUCCAGGCCCUACGGGGUGCAGCAGGCGCGAAACCUUUACAAUGCGGGCAACCGCGAUAAGGGGACCUCGAGUGCCGGCAUACAAUGUCGGCUGUCGUGAUGCCUAAAAAGCAUUAUAUAGCAAGGCCGGGCAAGACCGGUGCCAGCCGCCGCGGUAACACCGGCGGCUCGAGUGGUGACCGCUAUUAUUGGGUUUAAAGGGUCUGUAGCCGGCCGGAUAAGUCUCUUGGGAAAUCUGGCCGCUUAACGGUCAGGCUUUCAGGAGAUACUGUCUGGCUCGAGGCCGGGAGAGGUGAGAGGUACUUCAGGGGUAGGGGUGAAAUCUUGUAAUCCUUGGAGGACCACCAGUGGCGAAGGCGUCUCACCAAAACGGACCUGACGGCAAGGGACGAAAGCUAGGGGCACGAACCGGAUUAGAUACCCGGGUAGUCCUAGCCGUAAACGAUACUCGCUAGGUGUCGGCCGCGGUGCGACCGUGGUCGGUGCCGUAGGGAAACCGUGAAGCGAGCCACCUGGGAAGUACGGCCGCAAGGCUGAAACUUAAAGGAAUUGGCGGGGGAGCAC
rnacentral:rRNA from 1 species